UACGUAGGGGGCAAGCGUUGUCCGGAAUCAUUGGGCGUAAAGCGCGCGUAGGCGGCCCGGUAAGUCCGCUCUGAAAGUCCAGGGCUCAACCCUGGAAAGCGGGUGGAUACUGCCGGGCUAGAAUCCGGAAGAGGCGAGUGGAAUUCCUGGUGUAGCGGUGGAAUGCGCAGAUAUCAGGAGGAACACCGGUGGCGAAGGCGGAUCUCUGGGCCAUAACUGACGCUGAGGAGCGAAAGCAUGGGGAACGAACAGGA
rnacentral:rRNA from 1 species